UACGUAGGGUCCGAGCGUUGUCCGGAGUUACUGGGCGUCAAGGGCGCGUAGGCGGCCGAUCAAGUCGGAGGUGAAAGCCCAGGGCUCAACCCUGGAAUGGCCUUCGAUACUGGUUGGCUCGAGACCGGAAGAGGUAAGUGGAACUGCGAGUAUAGAGGUGAAAUUCGUAGAUAUUCGCAAGAACACCAGUGGCGAAGGCGGCUUACUGGUCCGGUUCUGACGCUGAGGCGCGAAAGCGUGGGGAGCAAACAGG
rnacentral:rRNA from 1 species